GACGAACGCUGGCGGCGUGCUUAACACAUGCAAGUGGAGCGACGAACCGGGCUUCGGCCCGGGGCAGAGCCGCGAACGGGUGAGUAACACGUGGGUUACCUGCCCCGAUGACUGGGACAACCCGGGGAAACCCGGCUAAUACCGGGAUGGUGCCCUUCGGGGGAAAGGAAGCUUCGGCCUCCGCAUCGGGAUGGGCCCGCGGCCCAUUAGCUUGUUGGUGGGGUAAUGGCCCACCAAGGCUGCGAUGGGUAGCUGGUCGAGAGGACGAUCAGCCACACUGGGACUGAGACACGGCCCAGACUCCUACGGGAGGCAGCAGUGGGGAAUCUUGCGCAA
rnacentral:rRNA from 1 species